rnacentral:misc_RNA from 1 species
UAUAGUUUCUAGGUAGAUUGGAUGCUCUCCAUGGCUGAGGACUGGGAUCUGUACGCCAUAGUCAGGAGUUGCACUACCUCUGCCGCCAACACUGCAGGUGCGGCCACCUCGAACAUCGAUACCUCCAGUCAAAAUGCCAACUUUGAGAACCAUUUGUAUUGCCUAGCCUCUUUGACUUUCGAAGAUGAUGACCCUUUUUCUUUUCCCGACCUUGAGCAGCCUAGAAACAAAGGAUGGCAAGAAUUGCAAGAUUCUUACAAGCCCUUUCUGUCUACCACCACUGUUCAAGGUAAUAUUCGUAGCUCCUCCUCCAUUUUUGAAUUUGGAGGAUUUAGUGGCCAAGAUCAGUCUCAACUUGCACAACAACAGCAGCAACUGCAUCAUCCUCCACCACCACCACCACAACCCACCAAUAUGCCCUUCAGCCUCCGUUUCAAUCAUAGCCAGCCACAAUCCCAACAUGCACAGCAACAGCAAAAGCAAAAUCAAUGGCCAAAAUUGCACCAGCUGGGUUCUCAAAGGCCUGAGACCAGUGCUUCUCUUCUUCCUUUACGAACCACUCAAUCAUCGGCUUCGAGAUCAAGGAAGAAAAAGAGCCAUCAGAAGAGGCAGGUGAUGCAGGUAACAGCAGAGAAUCUCUGCAACGAUGUGUGGGCUUGGCGUAAGUACGGACAGAAACCCAUCAAAGGCUCCCCAUAUCCAAGGAACUACUACAGAUGUAGCAGCUCGAAAGGUUGUGUAGCAAGAAAGCAAGUAGAGAGGAGCAAUACAGAUCCAAAUAUGUUCAUCGUGAGCUACACAGGUGAGCACACCCACCCUCGUCCCACCCACCGAAACUCACUAGCCGGAAGCACCAGAAACAAAUUCCCGGCCAUCCAAAAGCCUCCCAACAAGGAAGCCGAGGAGCCAAGCGCUGAAAAGGAUCCCUGCUCGUCUCCGCUUUCGGCGACAAGUGUCUCUCCAACAACCCCACUGUCAGCUCCAAUGGACCACGAGACAGCGAAUGAGAACAUCAACACAGAUGCUGCAAAAAUGGAUGGAGCUGACAUGGAGGGCCAUCGAAUGGAAAGCGACGACGAGUUUGAUGAGGGCGACGAUGAUAUUCUGAUUCCUAACAUGACCUUCAAUGAAGAUCUAAUUAAGGAUUUGCAAGAGUUGGGUACUGUUGGUGAAGGUCGUUUUCGUAUUCACAGCAGCAGUAGUGAAGGCUUAGGUCACACUCUGGAUUUUGAUGACAACUUCUCCUCUUGGUUCGUUGGUAGCUCAGCCGUCGUAGGGGGUGACUGAUAAAUUUCUCACUAAGCCGGUUUUC